GUGUUUGUAAAAAAUAGAAAUAGUUGGCAUCUUCCUAGGCAGGGACGGGGGAACAGCCUUUCGGCUCGAUCUCCUGAUAUCCACACAUCCGGUUAAGGCUCCUCACCUUACUUUUUUUUUUU